CUUUUUCGGGGGAUUAUUGGGCGUAAAGAGAGUGCAGGCGGUAUUUUAUGUUUGAUGUGAAAGCCUUCGGCUUAACCGGAGAAUUGCAUUCGAAACUGGAUAACAUGAGUGCAGAAGAGUGUAGUGGAACUCCAUGUGCAGUGGUGGAAUGGGUAUAUAUAUGGAAGAACACCAGUGGCGAAGGCGGUCACCUGGUGUGCAACUGACGCUGAGACUUGAAAGCAUGGGUAGCGAACUGGUUUAGAUACCCUGGUAGUCCAUGCCGUAAACGUUGAGAAUUAGGUGUUGGAGGGUUUCCGCCGUUCAGUGCUGGAGCUAACGCAUUAAGCACUCCGCCUGGGGAGUACGACCGCAAGGUUGAAACUCAACGGAAUUGACGGGGGCCCGCACAAGCGGUGGAGCAUGUGGUUUAAUUGGAAGGUACGCGAAGAACCUUACCAGGUCUUGACAUCUUGCGCCAACCCUAGAGAUAGGGCGUUUCCUUUGGGAACGCUAAUGACAGGUGGUGCCAAUUGA
rnacentral:rRNA from 2 species